ACACGUGAGUAACCUGCCCCCGACUCUGGGAUAAGCCCGGGAAACUGGGUCUAAUACCGGAUAUGACCUCGCACCGCAUGGUGCGGGGUGGAAAGAUUUAUCGGUGGGGGAUGGACUCGCGGCCUAUCAGCUUGUUGGUGAGGUAAUGGCUCACCAAGGCGACGACGGGUAGCCGGCCUGAGAGGGUGACCGGCCACACUGGGACUGAGACACGGCCCAGACUCCUACGGGAGGCAGCAGUGGGGAAUAUUGCACAAUGGGCGCAAGCCUGAUGCAGCGACGCCGCGUGAGGGAUGACGGCCUUCGGGUUGUAAACCUCUUUCAGUAGGGAAGAAGCGAAAGUGACGGUACCUGCAGAAGAAGCGCCGGCUAACUACGUGCCAGCAGCCGCGGUAAUACGUAGGGCGCAAGCGUUAUCCGGAUUUAUUGGGCGUAAAGAGCUCGUAGGCGGUUUGUCGCGUCUGCCGUGAAAGUCCGAGGCUCAACCUCGGAUCUGCGGUGGGUACGGGCAGACUAGAGUGAUGUAGGGGAGACUGGAAUUCCUGGUGUAGCGGUGAAAUGCGCAGAUAUCAGGAGGAACACCGAUGGCGAAGGCAGGUCUCUGGGCAUUUACUGACGCUGAGGAGCGAAAGCAUGGGGAGCGAACAGGAUUAGAUACCCUGGUAGUCCAUGCCGUAAACGUUGGGCACUAGGUGUGGGGGACAUUCCACGUUUUCCGCGCCGUAGCUAACGCAUUAAGUGCCCCGCCUGGGGAGUACGGCCGCAAGGCUAAAACUCAAAGGAAUUGACGGGGGCCCGCACAAGCGGCGGAGCAUGCGGAUUAAUUCGAUGCAACGCGAAGAACCUUACCAAGGCUUGACAUGUGCCAGACCGCCUCAGAGAUGGGGUUUCCCUUCGGGGCUGGUUCACAGGUGGUGCAUGGUUGUCGUCAGCUCGUGUCGUGAGAUGUUGGGUUAAGUCCCGCAACGAGCGCAACCCUCGUUCCAUGUUGCCAGCACGUAGUGGUGGGGACUCAUGGGAGACUGCCGGGGUCAACUCGGAGGAAGGUGGGGAUGACGUCAAAUCAUCAUGCCCCUUAUGUCUUGGGCUUCACGCAUGCUACAAUGGCCGGUACAAUGGGUUGCGAUACUGUGAGGUGGAGCUAAUCCCUAAAAGCCGGUCUCAGUUCGGAUUGGGGUCUGCAACUCGACCCCAUGAAGUCGGAGUCGCUAGUAAUCGCAGAUCAGCAACGCUGCGGUGAAUACGUUCCCGGGCCUUGUACACACCGCCCGUCAAGUCAU
rnacentral:rRNA from 1 species